rnacentral:tRNA from 1 species
AAAAAAUUAGUUAAUUUAUAACAUAUACUUGUCAUGUAUAAAUAAUCCAAAGGAUAUUUUUUA